rnacentral:rRNA from 1 species
UACAGAGGGUGCGAGCGUUAAUCGGAAUUACUGGGCGUAAAGCGUGCGUAGACGGUUAUUUAAGUCGGGUGUGAAAGCCCCGGGCUCAACCUGGGAAUUGCAUUCGAGACUGAAUAGCUAGGGUACGGUAGAGGGAAGUGGAAUUUCCGGUGUAGCGGUGAAAUGCGUAGAUAUCGGAAGGAACAUCAGUGGCGGAAGCGACUUCCUGGACCAGUACCGACGUUCAGGCACGAAAGCGUGGGGAGCAAACAGG